GGCUCGAUGGCGGAGGACCGCGUCUGCAUCUGGUAACUGUUCAACAGUUCACUUAUGCAGGAGGCCCCGUUCGACUCGGGGUCGGGCUA